rnacentral:pre_miRNA from 1 species
CACAUAUUGUGCCCUGUCAGACAGGUCAGGAUUGGUGGCAAUGCUUAUAAACGUGUCAGUAUUGCACUUGUCCCGGCCUUUCUGAUUGGUUAAAAGUCUGC